UACGUAGGGUGCAAGCGUUGCUCGGAAUCACUGGGCGUAAAGCGCACGUAGGCGGAUUGCUAAGUCAGGGGUGAAAUCCUGGAGCUCAACUCCAGAACUGCCUUUGAUACUGGCGACCUUGAGUCCGGGAGAGGUGAGUGGAACUGCGAGUGUAGAGGUGAAAUUCGUAGAUAUUCGCAAGAACACCAGUGGCGAAGGCGGCUCACUGGCCCGGUACUGACGCUGAGGUGCGAAAGCGUGGGGAGCAAACAGGG
rnacentral:rRNA from 1 species